UAUAUAUAGAAAAGCAGCCGGAACCGAAAAGAACAAUUAAAAGUCAACGUGGCUCAGAGGUGCAUGUGGACUGUAGCAGAGACGAAAGCGACUGAGGCGGUGUUUGGUGAGGUGUUGCAUACGGGCACAUGAGCAGGCAGUGCGCAUGCCUCAAGAGCGAGGGUGGAUGCGGGAGGAGGGUUAGAGUUGGUGGGCGGGGCUCUGUCAUGCGUAUCCCAUGACGCGGGAGGAGGUUUAGAGUUGGCGAGUGGGGUUCUGUCGUGCGUAUCCCAUGGUCUUAGAGUUGGCAGAUAGAGGCAUAUCUUUUUGAAAGUUUGGCCCUGUGCCUUAUUAAUUGUCAUUGCAAAAGCCAAUCUAACAGGAAAUUGUCUGCAUGUAAAAGUAAAAGGCAAAUUUGAAUCUGA